rnacentral:lncRNA from 1 species
GUAUUUCUCAAAACCAUGACAAUUGGUUGACAUUUUGUCCUAUGAGUUUUCUUUUUCUCUUCUUCCCAUUCAUAAUUGUGUUUGCAAUCUUCGAUAGCUGAAGGCCACAGGAAUCAAAACAUCGAGCCACACAGUACUGACCCUUCUUGUACACUUUUGUAAUAGUGUGUAUACCAUAUGGCCCAGAGUGGAGUUCUUGAUUAUCCAAGUGCCUUUGGUCAUUGGUGGCAGCAAGACUUGGUGGUUUUUUAGCCAGUGGUGCCACAGCCAGCUUUUUCUGCAAUACCUAAAGGGUCAAAUAGUGUUUUUCUACCACUGUUAUUUCAGAUUUAAGUGUUCUGCCAUGGGACAUUCAUACAGGGCUGGAACUUAUUAGGCCCUCAACGCUAAGGUUUAUCUCUGCUUGGCAGUUUCUUAGAAUAAUGAGAGUUGCAGUUUUGACUCUUGUGUUCCUAGAAUUCAAUGGCAUAGCUUUCUGAAUUAAGUAUUUUAAGUUUUUAAUAGUUCAUAAAAAGAGCUGUGACUUUAGUGUUUUUGUUUUGUAAAAAUACACACACACACAUAUAAAUACAUAUAUGACUUUAUGCCAGUUUCCCACAAGCCUCAAUCUUUUAUUCACCACUCAAUGAUACAUUGUUACAAAUACCGUUACUUGAGUACAGGAAAAGUGGGUCACCAUGAGAGGGGGGAGUGUUAAGAGUUCUGUCAUGGGAAGCUGAGACAGUCUUGGUUAUUAGCUUCCAUUGCCAAAUGUCUUUCAGAGACAUAGGAUUUUUCUUCCCAAAAAAUAUAUUGUUAACUUUUAUAGCUAACUAGCACCUGAUGAAAAUGCAUUUGUACCACUUCAUGUGUAUAUAGUUUUAUAACAAGAAAUAAAUCCAAUGGCCAUAUUAGAAUGUAAUUUCAACAUGGGAUUUAUCUAGAUACUUCCCAGAUGACUCUGAAAUUAAACAUGGUUGACGGUAAAAUUUACCUCAGCCCACCAUGGACAGGUAACCAGUUACACCAUGCAUUCAUUUUUACUGAGAUUUUUUUGACAUCCCUUUCUCUCACGCCUUGGUACUUUAGUGCAGUUUACCGUAUGCAUAAUGGUUUCUUUGGCUAAUUGAUCCGACUGACUAAAGUUUAGGUUUGAUUGCCAAUGCUGAGUUUGAGAUGGCUCAAAAAUAGAACCUUUAUUUUGCCAAGUUUUUUUUUUUUUUUCUGCAACAAAACCCAUGUUGCAGCUUUGAACAUAGGAAGACACAUCUAAUGUAGCCAAUGAGCCUGUUAUAAGAAAGUGGGAUUUUUUUUCCUGGGUACCUUGGGACAGAUUGUGGAAAGAAAACUUGACAUUGUGGCCUUUAAGACAAAGCAUCUGGAUCUUGUACUAGAAAGAUACUCUAGCUUGGUUUGUGGGCAGUUUUUAAAGAUGUUAUUUUCCCCUCUCUCAUCUCUCAUGGCACAAGUAGAGAGUUCACCUGGGAGGGGCUGCAUCACCUCACUAAGCUUUUAUUUAGUUCUUGACUUUUUGAGUUCCUACUUGUGGUGACUGGCACCUCAAGGUAACCUUGUUAGGUUCCCAAUGUCAUUUAUAUCCUCCUCCCCAUCACCCAGCAACUUACUUUUACUUUGCUAAGCCAAUGGCCUGGCGACGGCUGAGGGCAAGCUUCCGUGUUGAUAGUGCAGUGUUGCUGACGUGGUGCCUAUUUAUUUUGUCUGUUGCAGUAUUCUAUGGACAAGUGUGACUUAAGCUGGUAGCUCAUACCUAUUGAUUUGCCAUGUGUACAUAAUACUACUAUUUUUCAAAAAACUUUAUAAAAAACUUUUAAGAUAUUUGAAUACAAAAAAAUCACAAUUUUGAACUUAAAAGGUUUUUGUUGUCUUAAGGGUUGUUAUGGUGUUCUUUAAAUCGGUGAUUUUUGAUGAACAUACAUACAUAACAUUUCCUUUAUUGGUGUGUUCAGAUAUUUUUUGAUAAGCUGUUAUGUCUUAAGUGCAUUAGAACACAAUUGUUUGUAAUGGAACUGAAGUGUUUCCCUGGACAGUUUAAUGUGCAUAUGAAUGAGAUUUACAAUUUGGUUGUGUGUUGCUUUUUAACUUAUUAACUGUAAAUAAAUUUUAAGCAUAUA